GCCCUUCCAGACUCCUACGGGAGGCAGCAGUGGGGAAUCUUCCGCAAUGGGCGAAAGCCUGACGGAGCAACGCCGCGUGAGUGAAGAAGGUCUUCGGAUCGUAAAGCUCUGUUGUCGGGGACGAAAGGGUAGACGAGGUAAUGCGUUUACUAAGACGGUACCCGACGAGGAAGCCACGGCUAACUACGUGCCAGCAGCCGCGGUAAUACGUAGGCGGCAAGCGUUGUCCGGAAUUAUUGGGCGUAAAGGGAGCGCAGGUGGGACGGUAAGUCCGUCUUAAAAGGCAGGGGCUCAGCCCCUGUAAGGGAUGGAAACUAUCGAUCUUGAGUGCCGGAGAGGAAAGCGGAAUUCCCAGUGUAGCGGUGAAAUGCGUAGAUAUUGGGAAGAACACCAGUGGCGAAGGCGGCUUUCUGGACGGCAACUGACACUGAGGCUCGAAAGCCAGGGGAGCGAACGGGAUUAGAUACCCCGGUAGUCCUGGCCGUAAACGAUGGAUACUAGGUGUGGGAGGUAUCGACCCCUACCGUGCCGGAGUUAACGCAAUAAGUAUCCCGCCUGGGGAGUACGGCCGCAAGGCUGAAACUCAAAGGAAUUGACGGGGGCCCGCACAAG
rnacentral:rRNA from 1 species